GACGAACGCUGGCGGCGCGCUUAACACAUGCAAGUCGAACGGAAAGGCCUGCUUUCCCUUGUGGAUUGCGGGUACUCGAGUGGCGAACGGGUGAGUAACACGUGAGUGAUCUGCCCCCAACUUGGGUAUAAGCCUGGGAAACUGGGUCUAAUUCCCGAUAGGACUGCAGGGUGGUGCCUGUGGUGGAAAACGAUUUUCUAGUGGUUGGGGAUGAGCUCGCGGCCUAUCAGCUUGUUGGUGGGGUAAUGGCCUACCAAGGCGGCUACGGGUAGCCGGCCUGGGAGGGUGGACGGCCACAUUGGGACUGAGAUACGGCCCAGACGCCUACGGGAGGCAGCAGUGGGGAAUAAUGCACAAUGGGCGGAAGCCUGAUGCAGCGACGCCGCGUGGGGGAUGACGGCCUUCGGGUUGUAACCUCCUUUCGACCGCGAGGAAGCCACCUGGUUGGAAGGGUGGUGACGGUAGUGGUAGAAGAAGCACCGGCUAACUACGUG
rnacentral:rRNA from 1 species